rnacentral:rRNA from 1 species
GACGAACGCUGGCGGCGUGCUCAACACAUGCAAGUCGAGCGGUAAGGCCCUUUCGGGGGUACGACGAGCGGCGAACGGGUGAGUAACACGUGGGUGACCUGCCCUCAGCUCUGGGAUAAGCCUGGGAAACUGGGUCUAAUACCGGAUAUGACUCCAUGACGCAUGUUGUGGGGUGGAAAGCCUUGUGCGGCUGAGGAUGGGCCCGCGGCCUAUCAGCUUGUUGGUGGGGUGAUGGCCUACCAAGGCGACGACGGGUAGCCGGCCUGAGAGGGCGACCGGCCACACUGGGACUGAGACACGGCCCAGACUCCUACGGGAGGCAGCAGUGGGGAAUCUUGCGCAAUGGGCGAAAGCCUGACGCAGCGACGCCGCGUGAGGGAUGACGGCC